CUACACACACACUACAUAUACACUACACACACACACUACGUAUACACUACACACACACACUACGUAUACACUACACACACACACUACGUAUACACUACACACACACACACUACGUAUACACCACACACACACUACGUAUACACUAUAUACACUAUCUACUACAGAGAGCGAUGGGGGGGGGAUUCCGGAACAAGGAUAAACUGCAACAGAUGAUGUCACAGGUAGACACUUUCGGUCUGCCUUGGAUGGGCAUUAAGAAUAUGGCAAACACCCCCUUCAAAGCGAGGCAACGUAUCAAUCCCUGCCUGGACAACAAGAGGUUGUGCCUCUCUACAGCCAAUUAACUAAGUUCUUAGUUCUUCACCCCGCUCCCCCGGCCCGUCUGGAGGAGGAUGUCAUGGCAACCGAGAACACGCGAGGUAGUCGUACGAGUGUGUGUUUGUUUUUUUUGUUUUUUACACGAAAUAGUCUGUGGCCUGAUGACAUAAGUGGUAGUGUCUUGAAACACUGUUCUGCUCAGCUGAGUGGUGUCUUCUCUCUCUUCCAGUGGCCCCUUGAUAUACAUUGUUUCCAUAGAGACGGCAUUUCCAAUCUAUUGUUGUACCUGUCCCGAAAACCUCUCAUCCAUCUGCAUCAAAUGUGUAUAGACCUGUCUCUCUUAAAUCUCUUUUAAAUAAUCAACACCAGCACCAGACACCUUCUUGACCCCCUCCAUUUUGCACACCGGUCAGACUGAGAGGAGACUGAGGACUUGAUGCUAUGCUUAUCACACGGAUCACCAACUUCCUAGCUGAUAGGUCCCAGCAAGGUACGAGUUGGCAACACACACUCUGAGGUGGGUUCAACUUCAGUUGGAACCCCACAGGGCAGUGUUCUUUCACCAUUACUAUACAUACUGUAUACAGACAGCUGCCUGAGACGGUUCCCAGGGCGCCACCUGAUCAAAUAUACUGCUUUGGUUAGUCUUCUCGAAGGGGAUGAGACAGAGAGAGGACCAACUCUGAAUGAUUUGGCUGUCAUCCCAUCUAAAUUUAAAUACAUUCAAAAACAAAGGACACGAUCAUUUGACUUUGGAAGGAACCACCACUGAUAAAAGGUGAACCCAUUGAAAUAGUGAAGGAGUGCAAACACCUUGGGCUUGUCAUCAUCAACAAGCUGUCCUGACGCUAUUUUUAAGAAAGGCCAACAGACUGUAUUUCCUAAGGAAACUGCGCUUUAAAAAAAAAAAAAAUGUUGAUCUAAUCAUCAUGGUUCUAAAUUAUUUAUUGAGAUCAUUCUGUCCUACUGCUUGACCUGCUGCUUUGGGGAUAUCAAGGCUGCAGUGGGGGAAAAAAGUUUAAACAAGAUAGUCAGGACUUGUAGAAAAAUCACGGGGCAAGAACCGUCAUCUCUACCUGGGCAGAGCUCUCCAUAAGGUGAAUAAAAUAGAGGUUGACUCCUCCCUGAAUUCCCUCUGUCAUAUCUCUACCUGGGCAGAGCUCUCCAUAAGGUGAAUACAAUAGAGGUUGACUCCUCCCUGAAUUCCCUCUGUCAUAUCUCUACCUGGGCAGAGCUCUCCAUAAGGUGAAUACAAUAGAGGUUGACUCCUCCCUGAAUUCCCUCUGUCAUAUCUCUACCUGGGCAGAGCUCUCCAUAAGGUGAAUACAAUAGAGGUUGACUCCUCCCUGAAUUCCCUCUGUCAUAUCUCUACCUGGGCAGAGCUCUCCAUAAGGUGAAUACAAUAGAGGUUGACUCCUCCCAUUCACCCCACCCUGAAUUCCCUCUGGCCGCAGGUACAGACUCCCUGAGGUAAAAAAAAUAUAUAAAAAAAAUAUAAAAAUAGGGCCAAACACUUUUUUUAUUCCGAAUGCAAUUCUGCAACUUAAUAUGUUGACUAAUUGCAUAUAGCAACUCCACUUUGCCUAUUUGCGUGUAAAUAUCCUUUGCUCUUUUUUUUUAGAUGUGAUAUUACCUUUAUUUAACCAGGCAAGUCAGUUAAGAACACAUUCUUAUUUUCAAUGAUGGCCUGGGAACAGUGGGUUUACUGCCUGUUCCGGGGCAGAACGACAGAUUUGUACCUUGUCAGCUCGGGGGUUUGAACUUGCAACCUUCCGGUUACUAGUCCAUAUGUUUUAUGACUGCUGCAAGAUGAAUUGCCUCUGAGGAAAUGUAAAGUCUUCAGAAUCUGAAUGUUAUUUAUCAUCCCGUAUAACAGUGCCUGUCUCAUCUGGAGUGGCCUAGAGAAGUUAGGAUAGGUAAUUCAGAGAUAGCUAAGCUAACCAGCUAUAACUAGCUAGAUUAAUUCAGAGAUAGCUAAGCUAACUAGGUUAAUUCAGAGCUAGCUAAGCUAACUAGGUUAAUUCAGAGCUUGCUAAGUUCAUUCAGAGCUAGCUAACUAGCUAGGUUAAUUCAGAGCUAGCUAAGCUAACUAGGUUAAUUCAGAGCUAGCUAAGCUAACUAGGUUAAUUCAGAGCUAGCUAAGCUAACUAGGUUAAUUCAGAGCUAGCUAAGCUAACUAGGUUAAUUCAGAGCUUGCUUAGCUAACUAGGUUAAUUCAGAGCUUGCUAAGCUAAGUUCAUUCAGAGUAGGUUAAUUCAGAGCUAGCUAAGCUAACUAGGUUAAUUCAGUUAAGAACAAAUUCUUAAUGACAACCCACUGUUCCUAGGCUAACUGCCUGUUGUACCUUGUCAGCUCCGGGAUUUGAACUUGUAAACUUCCGGUUACGAGUCCAACGCUCUAACCACUAGGCUACCCUGCCGCCCCAAUUGAGGCCACAUGCUGCGGUUUCUCCCCAACCCCAUUCAGAUAAAACAGCCUACCUGCUGAUUUGCUCUUUGAAGCUUAUUUAUUCCAUCUUGCAUUGAAUUAGUGAACUCUCACUCCACUUGCUACAUAUUGACCUUCUUCGCCCAUUUGAUUGGCAACGUAAACAACAAGCUACACACGUGAAGGCUACCUUUGUUUUUAUGGGCCGAACCGUGCACGUCAUAACUACAUUGAAAAGUUUGUUUUAUUAAAUGUAGUAUUUUAAGUCAUUGUAUAUCCAAUAUUGCAUGGAUAUUUUUUAUUUCAUUUGGGAAAAGCAUUUUCAGUGUUAAAAAUCUGGUUUAAAGAAAAUGUGCUUGCUAAAAUGUAGGCCCGUUUAGAUGUUCAAAUAACCAUGCACAACCCUACCCAUGUACAACCCUACCCAUGCACACCCAUGCACACCUCUACCCAUGCACAACCCUACCCAUGCACACCCAUGCACACCUCUACCCAUGCACACCCCUACCCAUGCACACCCCUACCCAUGCACACCCCUACCCAUGCACACCCCUACCCUGGCUAGAAGAAAUCUGUUACUCUGAAAGAGAUGUCUCAAAGAGACAUAGGGGGAUCAACGCCACGGUGCAUUGAAGCUGUUCUGGAGGCUCGUGGAGUCCUAUUAAGACUCUUGAUGUUGGCGUUUCCUUUAUUUUGGCAGUUAACUGUGUGUAUUACAUACAGACACACCCUCUUUUUUUUUUAACAAUAAAUUGAUUGCAGAAACAAGAACCUCCUUUCAACACAUUCCUCUUCCUUU